GCGGACGCACCGUCGCGUUUGAACACAACCCC
rnacentral:scRNA from 1 species